rnacentral:rRNA from 1 species
GCACUUUGCUGACGAGUGGCGGACGGGUGAGUAAUACUUAGGAACAUGCCUUUGUGUGGGGGAUAACCAUUGGAAACGAUGGCUAAUACCGCAUAAUGUCUUUGGACCAAAGAGGGCUUUCGGGCUCUCGCGCAAAGAGUGGCCUAAGUGAGAUUAGCUUGUUGGUGAGGUAAAGGCUCACCAAGGCGACGAUCUCUAGCUGUUCUGAGAGGAAGAUCAGCCACACUGGGACUGAGACACGGCCCAGACUCCUACGGGAGGCAGCAGUGGGGAAUAUUGCACAAUGGGGGCAACCCUGAUGCAGCCAUGCCGCGUGUGUGAAGAAGGCCUUCGGGUUGUAAAGCACUUUCAGUUGUGAGGAAAGGUUGGUGGUUAAUACCCAUCAGCUGUGACGUUAGCAACAGAAGAAGCACCGGCUAACUCCGUGCCAGCAGCCGCGGUAAUACGGAGGGUGCGAGCGUUAAUCGGAAUUACUGGGCGUAAAGCGCACGCAGGCGGUUAUAUAAGCUAGAUGUGAAAGCCCCGGGCUCAACCUGGGAAUAGCAUUUAGAACUGUAUGACUAGAGUCUUGGAGAGGGGGGUGGAAUUCCA